AUCAAUCAACCAUUUAUUGAGCCCAGAUGUGGUACAGCCCCAGCCGGAGAUGACCCAGAGGUGGGGUGGGGAGGAGAGAGAUGGGGAAGCCGAGUCCGGGGCCACAGGUGCAGCCAGGAGGUGCAGGUGAGCAGCGCUCAGGCCAGCCUGUCAGCCUCAGUCCUGAGCUUACUUCUGGUGAUGGAGGGAGAUAUACUGAAAAGAUCCUGCAGCCUGCAGGUGUGGCACAGCUGAUCUUGGGCCAAGGAUGCACAGCUGUGUGUGUGCCUGGCCACCGGCAAGGGCACGCGGGCUCAGAAGCACAGGUGUGCCCACACCCUGCGUGCCCGUGUGUGGCGCAGCAGCUCCCAACGCGCGCAGGACACACACACAGCACAGACAGACCCUCCCAUGGCCACACGGACAAAGAUGGCUUCACUAUAGACACCGGUGCAGACAGGAUGUGCGCUGCUUUCCAAGGCCUGUGCGCAUCAGCACCGCACGGACCCAGGCACACGUGAUCCUCAGCCAAGGUGGCCUGUCCAGUCCUGGUGCUGUUGGAUGGAAAGGCUAACCCGGGAGGUCAGGGGUCGUGGUAUAUCAGCUGGGCUCCCUCAGAUGCUCCUGCAGAAGUGGCCAGGACCUCAGGAACACACCUGCUCCUGGUCAAGACAGGAGGGGCUGCCGUGAUGCAACUUGCCCGUGCCUUUGGGUGCUGUGAGCUGGCUGCGCGCCACGUCGUUUCGAGGACGCAAGAAGGUGUUUCCAAGUCCAGUCUGUCCACCGACCUGAACCUUUACCAUUGAAAGAACAAAGGGGUGGGGCCCGAGGGACCCUUCCCUGCCGACCUGUGGUGUGUAGUCAGGGAUGCUCCUGCAGACACACAGGUGGGCUCUGACUGCCAGAUCGCAGGGGCGGUGCCGUGGUCCUCACCUGCCAUGUACUAGCGUGCUGACGCGGACACCGGCGAGAGCGAGAGUGCUCGGCCCGGCACAUCCCAGACAAUUCCUCUGUAAAUGGUGCAGCAGCCAGAGGCCCCAGCACCUUGAGGUUAAAGAGAAGGAAUAGAGUUCUCCAGAGCCCCAAGGAGCGGGAGGUUCUGUCCCAAUGGAUGGGCUCAGCCAAUUUCACCCUCUCCUCCCCCUGCCAACACUGCGGCCUGCAGCCUGGACCUGGCCCGGGUUGUGGAGGGGACCAGGGGAUGCAGCUGCCACCUGCUGGGCGGACGUGGGCCUAGGUGGUCCUCAGCCCUCAUGACAGGAGCCCCCGAAGCACUGUUGGGGCACCCUCUCUGACAUUGGGUGGGAGACUCUGGGAGCCGAGUGCAGAGCCAGGGCCCAGCACGCAGGCCUUGGGCUCCAGUCCGUGUGCCCCACAUCUGGAAUGUGCCAGCAGGGCCCGGUGCGAGAGAAGAGCGGAUCCCUACAUGAGUGAGGGUGGAGGGAUGGUGCCUCUGCCACGGCCAUGGUGCCGCCGUCCAUGUCAGCUCACUCUCAGCACAGAUGCUGUGUGAUGGCCUCAGGCCACGCCGCUUGUUCUGAGGCCCCUAGCAGGUCGGGCUUGUGCUGGCUGCACAUUGACUGGCUGGUGAGCUUGGCGGGUCUGUGGGCACGGAGAGACCAGAACGUGCGUAACAGGCCCGAUGAGGGUGCCAGGCUGCGGCAAACCCCGAGCUUUAGAGGAGAGGGGCAUCAGCCGGGGGCCCUGCACAGGCAGCCUCAGGUGCAAGGAGCUGGAGCCCAGGCCACCUGGGGAGGGGCGGGGUGCCGUGGCUGGAAGUUGCUGUUCUCAGACCUGGUUCUGAGACCCUCUCCAACUGCAUGGGGGUGGUCCAGGCUGGACCCCAGAUGUGACGGUGUAUGUGCUGGGAUGGGAGCCCCCCUGAGAGCAGGGCUUUUGUUAAUUCACCGGCAAUCCCACAUGUCUGGCACGAGAUAGGUGCUCAGUCAGUGAAAACCACACACGGGAUCUUCCAUUGUGUCCAGGGGAGGGUGGGCCCUGCUCGCAGCCAGACUCCUAGCCCUGGGCAGCCCUGCUGCCUGCCUGCUCCUUCCACUCCUACCACCUGCCCAGGUGGGACUCUGCCUGCCUUCCUGUCCCCAGUGCUCUGUAGGAGUUUGACCACAGGUAUCCUCUUCAUCAGAGAGAGGAAAGCUCACGAUCUGGAAGAACUCCAGGCCUGGCCCAGCGAAGACGUCCUUAUCUUCAGCAGACAUUGCCCAGUGCAAGGGGAGGUCAGUCUCAGGAGACAGUCUCCUGGACAGUGGCGUGGCAUCUGUCCUAAGGCCUUGCCUGCAGCACAGGGUGCCACAGAGGUCCCCUGUGACACAGCCUCAUGGCUGGGGCAGGCAGGGGUCGCACCUGCUCCUGCAUGAAGAGGCAGAUAAAGACCCACAGCGUGGUCUCUGGGGUCCCACAUCCCAGGUAGAGAAUGACCCAGGUCGCUGGCGUCUGUGCCAUCUCUGCUCCACUGACCACUCAUGGGGGUCCUGGAGAUCCUGACACCGGUGGCCGGGGAGCAGCAGCCCAGGCACAGGCCCCAGUGCACACGCAGAUCCCACCGUGUCUGCACAAGGCCUUGCCCCAACGAGGCCUGGGUGCCGUGUGAGGGCCGGGACGCUAACACAGCCGAGGGUACCCACGCGUGAGCUGCUCUGGGGUCCCUCCCCAUGUUUCUUCCGGUAAUGAAACUUGUACCCAAAUGGGAUAUGCAGGGUUGCACUGUGCAGUCGCUGUGUGUUUAAGGGUCUCAUCCCCGUGUGCGCCAGCAGGACCACAGCUGUGACCGGCUGCUCCAGAAGAAGUGGGUGGGUUGAGACCCCACCGGCAGCGUCACUGGGGGCAGCAGGCCCUCUGUCAGCACUGACCUCUGUAUCAUGUCAGGGAUUUUUAGGGCGGCAAGCUCAGGUGGACAGGCAGUUUUAUUCUGUUUCCCAUGUCAAGUCCAGCCCCAGACUGACUUUCUGAGGUCACAGACGGAGCCUCACCCCAUCCAAGGCGGUGUCCUAGACUCCCACUGUGCUCCCCAGAGGGCAGGGUGAGUGCGUGGCAUCCUUUUGGCGGGCGUGGGUGCCUCUGUGGACCUGGCGUGAGGCUUCUCUGUUUCUGAGUCUCCUAUGGACCAUCUGUCUUCUGUGUGGCUGCUGAGGAAUCACACUGGGGUGGCCGUGCAGGUGGCUGAAUGAGAACAGGACCCCCAUGCUGCACAGCCCUGCUUAACCCGGGGGUGGCCCCAGAAGCAGGUGGGCGAGGCUGGGCAGCAGGGAUUGGCUGAAAUCAUAUGCAGAGCCCAAGAGGCAGGGGAAAGGCGGCAAUUUCAGGGUCCCUUUGUUCGCCAGGUACCUGGGGCCCAGCCCGGGCGGCAGGAGGGACUCAGCCCCUUGCCCAGGCAGGAAGGGUCCCAAGCAGAGGCCCCUCCCUCAGGCACUCCCCAGCCCACACCUGCAGCACUGGGACCAAGACUAAUAAAACACCCGCCUCACGGAAGACAGCUUUAUCUUGUUGAUCAGAAGUCUGCCAGCCCAAUUUAUGAUGGAACAUAAGAUCUCUAAAUCUGAAUUUACGCUCUAUAGCGUAACGAGAGGUCAAUAAGAUUAAACGGGGGCUCAGGAGAGGACCAGCGUCAGGCUCACUGCGAGGUGCUGCACAGAAAACCCACAGCCAGAGCCCCUGGGCCCAGCCCAGGCAAGACCAGAAAAGGAGGGGGCAGGUGGGAGACCAGCCUGGGGCUCCUGGGAAGCCCACGGGAUGGAGGCGGGAGAGCCAGGAGGCCUGGGGCAACCCUGGGACGGUUCCUGGAUCGAAGAGAGCAGGGGGGUGAUGAGGGUUCCCUCAGGGCUGGGGAGCCUUCUCCUGGUCUGAGACCCACCCCCCUUCAGCUCCCAAGCCUUGGGUGCCCCUGGCUCUGAGGACAGUUGGGAAUCUUCCCUGAGGCAGGUUCAAGGACAGAGCUGUGACCCUGGCCCAGGGCUGCUUUGGGUGCCCAUGAACUCAGCUUCUGGCUCAGAGCAGUUCCCUGCACCCGUUCCUGAGCCCUCUGUCCUCUGGAACCCGUGGGCAGGGUGAGGGACGGGUGUUCCAUCUGGGUGGGGGCCUGGGCGCCCAGCCAGCACAAGGCUGGCUUGCUGAGCUUAGGGCAGACCCCGACUUCAGAAUUUAUACAAAUAAAUGCAAUGAAAAGUGCUGGCAGCCUGA
rnacentral:sRNA from 1 species